rnacentral:tRNA from 2 species
GCAGGUGUGGUGUAGAGGUAGCACCACGGUCCGCCAGGCCGACGGCGCGGGUUCGAUUCCCGCCACCUGCU